rnacentral:rRNA from 1 species
GAUGAACGCUGGCGGCGUGCCUAAUACAUGCAAGUCGAGCGAACAGACGAGGAGCUUGCUCCUCUGACGUUAGCGGCGGACGGGUGAGUAACACGUGGAUAACCUACCUAUAAGACUGGGAUAACUUCGGGAAACCGGAGCUAAUACCGGAUAAUAUAUUGAACCGCAUGGUUCAAUAGUGAAAGACGGUUUUGCUGUCACUUAUAGAUGGAUCCGCGCCGCAUUAGCUAGUUGGUAAGGUAACGGCUUACCAAGGCAACGAUGCGUAGCCGACCUGAGAGGGUGAUCGGCCACACUUGAACUGAGACACGGUCCAGACUCCUACGGGAGGCAGCAGUAGGGAAUCUUCCGCAAUGGGCGAAAGCUUGACGGAGCCACGCCGCGUGAGUGAUGAAGGUCUUCGGAUCGUAAAACUCUGUUAUUAGGGAAGAACAAAUGUGUAAGUAACUAUGCACGUCUUGACGGUACCUAAUCAGAAAGCCACGGCUAACUACGU